UUUUUCAUUCUGAAUAAAGUAUAUUUUUGGAAAAAAAUACAGAGAAGAUUAGCAUGGCCCCUGCACAAGGAUGACAUGCAAAUUCGUGAAGUGUUCCAUAUUCUA